UACGAAGGGGGCUAGCGUUGCUCGGAAUCACUGGGCGUAAAGGGUGCGUAGGCGGGUAUUUAAGUCAGGGGUGAAAUCCUGGAGCUCAACUCCAGAACUGCCUUUGAUACUGAGUAUCUUGAGUACGGGAGAGGUGAGUGGAACUGCGAGUGUAGAGGUGAAAUUCGUAGAUAUUCGCAAGAACACCAGUGGCGAAGGCGGCUCACUGGCCCGUACUGACGCUGAGGCACGAAAGCGUGGGGGAGCAAACAGG
rnacentral:rRNA from 1 species